GGGGCUGUGGCUCAGUGGGAGAGCGCCUGCUUCGCACGCAGGAGGUCGUCGGUUCGAGUCCGACCUGCUCCA
rnacentral:tRNA from 3 species